GGGUUGUGAGGUUAAGCGACUAAGCGUACACGGUGGAUGCCCUGGCAGUCAGAGGCGAUGAAGGGCGUGCUAAUCUGCGAUAAGCGCCGGUAAGGUGAUAUGAACCGUUAUAACCGGCGAUACCCGAAUGGGGAAACCCAGUGUGAUUCGUCACACUAUCAUUACGUGAAUACAUAGCGUAAUGAAGCGAACCGGGGGAACUGAAACAUCUAAGUACCCCGAGGAAAAGAAAUCAACCGAGAUUCCCCCAGUAGCGGCGAGCGAACGGGGAGGAGCCCAGAGCCUGAAUCAGCAUGUGUGUUAGUGGAAGCGUCUGGAAAGGCGCGCGAUACAGGGUGACAGCCCCGUACACAAAAGCGCAUGUGUUGUGAGCUCGAUGAGUAGGGCGGGACACGUGGUAUCCUGUCUGAAUAUGGGGGGACCAUCCUCCAAGGCUAAAUACUCCUGACUGACCGAUAGUGAACCAGUACCGUGAGGGAAAGGCGAAAAGAACCCCGGCGAGGGGAGUGAAAAAGAACCUGAAACCGUGUACGUACAAGCAGUGGGAGCACCCUUCGGGG
rnacentral:rRNA from 1 species